rnacentral:rRNA from 1 species
UACGUAGGGGGCAAGCGUUGUCCGGAAUCAUUGGGCGUAAAGCGCGUGUAGGCGGCUCGAUAAGUCCGUUCUGAAAGUCCAGGGCUCAACCCUGGGAUGCGGAUGGAUACUGUCGAGCUCGAGUCCGGAAGAGGCGAGUGGAAUUCCUGGUGUAGCGGUGAAAUGCGCAGAUAUCAAGAGGAACACCAAUGGCGAAGGCAGCUCGCUGGGACGUGACUGACGCUGAGACGCGAAAGCGUGGGGAGCAAACAGG